rnacentral:rRNA from 1 species
GACGAACGCUGGCGGCGUGCUUAACACAUGCAAGUGGAGCGACGAACCGGGCUUCGGCCCGGGGCAAAGCCGCGAACGGGUGAGUAUCACGUGGGUAACCCGCCCCGAUGACCGGGAUAACCCGAGGAAACUCGGGCUAAUACCGGAUGUGCUCUCCAUCCACCAGGGUGGAGAACAAAGGAAGCUUCGGCCUCCGCAUUGGGAUGGGCCCGCGGCCCAUUAGCUUGUUGGUGAGGUAAAGGCUCACCAAGGCAACGAUGGGUAGCUGGUCUGAGAGGACGAGCCGCCACACUGGGACUGAGACACGGCCCAGACUCCUACGGGAGGCAGCAGUGGGGAAUUUUGGACAAUGGGUGCAGGCCUGAUCCAGCCAUGCCGCGUGCGGGAAGAAGGCCUUCGGGUUGUAAACCGCUUUUGGCAGGAACGAAACGGCGCGAGCUAAUACCUCGCGCUAAUGACGGUACCUGCAGAAUAAGCACCGGCUAACUACGUGCCAGCAGCCGCGGUAACAC